GCAGUUCCACCAGAGGUUUGCUAAUUUCUGCUGGCUAGUCUGAAGGACCUGGGGGGGAGAGGGGGGGGGUUCCUCUGAGUCCUCUGCCUUUUCAGCUGUUAGUUGCGAUUAAAAUAUUUAUGAAACAUGAAGGAAUGAAGGGAAAAACCCCAGAUGUGUCUUUGAUUAAUAUAAAUGAAGAAUAAGAUUAUAACAUGAAAGGUGAAACCGGUUGGUUUAACCUGAUACUGGCCCUUUAAAUGAACGGAUCCUCUUGGUGCUUUAGCCUCUAUGGAACAGGUUCAGUAAAUUCUGGAGUAUUUGGGCCAGAACUCAGGGAUGUUGAUGAGAUGUGGAACUGCAGCAGGAUUUCUGUCCUGUUUGUUUAGUCAGCAUCUGUUUCUCCACAUCAUUCAGCAGUUAAAGCUUCUCAGCACUGAGUUUUUCAUCCCUGCUGAAGCUGCAGAGCCUCUAAUGACACCUGGAGACACAAACACCUGCAGACAGAGCUGAGACUCCAACACAAACAAAAUAAUUAUGACAUGAAGAAACUCCUGAUAUGAAACAUGGUGAAAUAGUUCAGGAUGUUUUUGUUCCUUUGGAAACUAAAACUCAUCUUUUCACAUAGAAAUGAAUAUUUCAGCCUUUUUUCUGGUUCUGGAUCUCAGAGAAGAAAAACAAACAUUUAGUGUCUGGGGAAAAGGCGCCCCCUGGUGGUGAUGCCUCAUCAUUUCUAAGACCUAAACGGUAAGAAUGACUUAUAAUCAGUUUUAUUUUUCUGGCUCUGCUGCUGAUUCUUUGACAUUAUGAGAUUCUUCCAAAACUUUGUAAAACCAUUUCUGAUCAGUGAUGUCAGCGACUCCAUUUGUUUCUAUCAAACCAAACUCGUCUUUUCCUCCUCGGCUAAUUAAAACUGAACAAUGAAAUAAAAACUGAUGGAAGUGAAACUAAAAGCAGCUGCAGACAGAAAUCAGCAGGUUUCACUCAGACCAGGAUCCAAACUCUGAGGUUUGAUUUAAUGUUUCACUUUUAGUUUGAUUCUCAUUUGAAGCAGAAGUUUCUUCAUUUUGUCUCUUUGGUCAGGCUGACUGUCUGCAGCGUUGGGGCAGAGGUCACAGGGGUCACAGGGGUCACAGAGGUCACAGGGGUCACAGGGGUCAGCGGCUCUGACCUUCACACAGAGCCCUGCUGAUGUUCCUCUGAUCUGUUUGUUGUGGAAACUUCUGCCUGGAUCGUUUUGUUCUGUAAAUAAAGUGAUGCUGGUUCAGACGUGGGACUGAGGCUGGAUUCACUGAGCUGGGAUGAAACUUGUUCUCCUUCUCCUCCUUCUUUCCCAGAUUUCCCACAAAUGUCAAAAUGAGGAAGAUGGAGCCUCGUGUAUCAGAAUGAAGGAUCCUGGAGUCAAACAACGACGAACAGAAACGUCCUUCAGUCGAAUCUGUCGGUUCAUCCAGAUGUUUUCUUUCUGUUUAGUUUUGAAGAGUCUGUAGUGAAGUGAUUCAUGCGAAGUGUAAUGUCCUUUAGCAACAUGGCUGAGACACCAACAGACCCACCAGGGAGAUCAGCAGCAGACAAACCUGGCUGGAUUAAAGCAGUAGAGGAGAAACGAUCUGUUACUGUGGAAUGAGAACCAGCUGGUGGAAAUAAAUAACUCAGAUUACAUUUGGCACACACAUUCAAUACUGUUUUUUGUUUCAGUACAUAUUUCCUGGAAUUUCUCCCCUCCAAAUCUGACAGGGCUGCACCACAGCGCCUCCGGUGGUCUGGAUGUAGAGAGGAUCCGUCCAGCUGCCGCCAUGCUGACGAUCUGAUCCGGUCAGAAAUCAUCUGAUCACAUCCUGGACCUUCAGAGCGUGAUGACACGUUCAUCCUGGGGUUAAACUACAGAUCAGGAACAGUUCCAGGAAUCUCCAGGAAGUUCUGAAUAAAUGAGGAAUCAAACAUCCUGACUGAGAAACAGAAGAGAAACAUUUUCUGGUUCUGAUCAAUUAAUAAUAAUGUGAUUAUUGAUCAAAUGAAGCUCAGGAUGAGUUCAGGUCUUCUCGCCUCAUUGGUUCUGUUGGCAGAAAUCCAGACAUUGAUCUGAUCCAAACAUCCAUCAAGUCCCAGCAGGAUGAGCGGGAACACGGAGCGCUUCCCAGAAACUAUUUCUCUGGAAUGUGGGAAUUUUCUGGAGGGGAUUUUUUAAUCUGCUGCUGAUUUUCUACCAUCUUUAACGAGAUCAGAACAGAUUCUCCUCUGGAUGCGUAACAACAUGCAGCUGUUACGAUAAAAAUGUUAAACCGAUAAAAUCUUCAGAGAGCAGAAAUGUAUUCAGAAGGUCUGAAUAAAGUGAAACAUCUUUGUUCACCAGUCAGCAGGUCCGUUUGUCCGUCUGAACGUCCAGAACAGGAACCAUCAGAUCAAACUGGAACCAGUUAUCAGUUUGAUUCCUGGUUCCAGUUCACCUGACAGGCGCUGAUCCUCUCAGCCUCCCAUCAUGUCAGAACGAUCUGAGUUUUAUCAGGAUUUUAUGGGAGGAAAAUGAUGAAGGCCAAAAGUAUUCAUACUCCUGACAGAUUUGGGUUUAAAGGAUCAUUUUUAUUUCACCGUCAUUUUCCUCCCACAAAAACCUGAUA